GCAUUGUUGGUUCAGUGGUAGAAAUCUCACUUCCACGUGGGAGACCCAGGUUCAAUUCCCAGCCAAUGCA
rnacentral:tRNA from 1 species